UGGCCUGGAGGGGAGAAGGAGGUGAGAGAGUAAGUGAGACGGAAAAGGGGCACUAGUGAAAGGAGAGGGUUUGAGGCUCGGAACGGACAGGCUGAGGGUCAGGACGCUGCGGGACCGGGGUGUUGGCUGUGGCCCGGGAUCGACAGAAACACAUCUUCCCCGGGGGGUCCUUCGCCCCAGCCAGUUGGUCCCCUCGCUCCUCCCUCGCAAAAGCCAUUUUCUCUGGACCCCGCACUCACCUGCCCAGGUCUCGGUCAGGGCCAGGGACCCCGAGAGCACCAGCAGGAGGGUUCGAGGCUCCGUGACCUGCAUCCUCCCCGUCUGUGGCGGAUCUGAGUUUGGCUGGUCUGAGAACUUCCUAACAGCCCUGAGUUUUUCUGUGGGAGUGCCAGAUGUAUGCUCAGUACAAAGAAGCACUGAGCACAUUUGUUCCUGCAUAAGAUCUGUGCCUGAGCUUUAAUUUACAAAGGGGUGAACAUUGCUUCCUGGAUGCAUCACCCAGGCAUAUUUUUCUCACUCAAAAAGAAGAAGAAGAAGAAAGGAAAGAAAUAAGCUAGGGAUGAGGGAAAGAAAGCCAACAGACAAAAAGAAAUAAAAGAACAACAGGACAAGAAUUGGAAAAAAAUGGAGAGGACCAAGUGAGAAAACACAGUGCCGAGAAAAAGACGCAAGACGUGGUUGGCCGGGCACCAGAGUUUUAAAGCAAGUUCUGCCUAACCUGGCAGGGAAAUUUUCACAUCAGGGAACACAAGUUCCUGGACUCUGUCUGGGGCCAGGUUAGGAGGC